AAAUUCUGCUUUCCUGAGCUGCUUAAUACUUGGAAGCACGUAAAGCCCACAAGUUGUCUUGGUGUUGAGCUUAUAUGGUACUCUGAAGCUAGCACAAAUGCCUGUUGGGAGGUUUUGCAGCAUGAGAAGUGAGGGAACCGUGCACUGAUCAGGUGCCACCAAGGCCCUGGGAAAAGGCAUUUGGUUCCCCAGAGGAACCCAACCUCAUCGGAGUGCUGUGAGCAUGAAGCACAGCAGUAACAGCUGUUUUCAGUCAAAAACACUACCUUGAGGAGCCAGCUUUUUGUAGACUGGCUGAACAGUUGCUUCAGACCAGGCAAACCUGUGUUCAGUUCCCUUUUCCAACGGACAGGAGUCAUAGCUGUAUUUGCCACAACCUUAACUUGCAGCCAUCACAUUCCUGGGAGACGAAAGCUGACGUGAAAAGGUACAAGAGCCAUGGGCAAGAAAAGGAGCAAGCAAGAGAGACAUUAUAAAGAAUGAAGUCUGUGCUUACAGAUAAGAGGACUUUUGACAAAGAAGCAGCAACACGGGAAAAAAAAUCCUGGGGCGUGGUGGCUGAUUAUUGACUGAAUGCAAGCUCCAGAGCAGUUCUUUUGCCAAAAAGCAGGCUACAAUCCAUAAAUAUACAAACAGGAGCACUGAGGAAAAGGGGGAGCUUCAGAGGCCUCCCACUCAUAUGACUGUUUCAAAAAUAGUGUUUCAAAAACUGUUUCAAAGCUGCUCUCUCAGCUUUGUAGUCCACAAUUCAGGAAAGAGACGCGAGGAUGGUAGUGGUUGGGAAACCUGCCUGAACUCAAAAAGCUCGUUUUGUUCAGAAAAUGUUAAGGGGUGGUUUUGGGAGCAUGGGGAACAAGAAAUUGACAGGACAACUAAAUUGUUCCAUUAGUUCGUGAAGAUACAUUAAGGUAUCAUGUCUGGAAAGUGAAAUUUUACAAGUUCACCUUAAAAUAAGGCAUUCAUUUGAGCUGGAAAUACUGAUUUAUUAUUGAACACCGGUCAAUAAUUGCAGUCAAUUCGUCGCCCUGAGACAUCUUUAAAUCAGCACUAGUUCAAACAGGAAUUAUUUAGUGAAAAUCCUGCAGCCUACAUUAAAGGAGGAAGUCAGAUGAAGAGAUUGCAAGAAUCACUUCUAACAUAAGAAUGCAUUAAUUGAUAGUUCUGUCAUGUAUUUUGGAAGCAUUGUUUGCAUUUUGUUUUAAUGAUCUUCCUCAGGUAGGUCAGUCCUAGAGGCUUCAGACCAUUCCUAGGGUCAUAGAUAUUAGGGCUGGGCUGACAAUUAGUCUAACUCUCCCAGUAAUACCAGUAUUUGAGCUUGAACUCAUUUGCUUCCCUAGGCUUAAUCAUGUCAAUUAUUUUUCCUUUUUUUGUGUGUGCAUUUCACUUUUUGCUUCUUCAGGGUUUCAUUGUGCUUUUCUGUAUAGCUAUGGAUGAAAAUCAAAAAAUUGAGUUGAUAAAAAAUAUUAUCUGUUAUUUCCACUUCUCCCUGGCUUUGUAAUGGUCAUAUAAAGGCUGUUCCCCAUGUGAAAUUUACUGGCACCAGAGGACAGUCAGCACUUUGCAGGAGAUGCUCCGUAUCAUGACAAAUGAGCUGGUGCAGAGCUCUAAAACCAUUUGUAAUUCAUGUGUAGUCUGGUUGCCAGCUUGCACUGGGCAUCCUUAGAAUCGGUCACUUCCCUAAAAAGUACUUGGAGCAUAUUAAAAAGUGAUUCACAAAAUGACUAAUCAAUUCUAGAAGGUAAUAUUCCGUCUCCCUCAAAGUCAUUCCCCAUACAUACCCAGAGGGUUUAAUUAAGCUUUUACACCGCUUUGGUUGAUAUGAUUUUUCUUUUUAGAUAGUUCGUAAUGUGCAUGGAAAAAAAAAAAAAAAAAAAAGCUGCAUUAAAACAGAUUAUUCAGCUUCAGGAUAUUUCUGCAGUGCGGGAAUUACUCGGAAGAAACCUUUGAUCUGUGCUCUGAAUCUGACCAGAUAGUUCUCUCUGUAAAAAUAGGUGAGAGUUAGAAAUCCCCGGCAGAAGACAGCGGCAUCCACGAGACGGGAGCUUUCUGUCACAAUCUGUGAAGUGCAGAAAUAUUUGCAGCUCGGGAAGAUUGACAAGCCAGCGUGUGCUGUUCAGGGUAACGAAAGCUGUUUGUAUAAAUCCCCUUGCAGCGAUCGUGUCUCAUUUAAUUGACAUCCCACCAGCUUGCGUCUUUUUUUGGUUUUUUUUUUUUUUCCUCAAAAACUUCAUUUGGCUGAGUUUUCUGGAAAACCCUGCGUUACCAAUUCUGCAGGAGCAAGGCAAGCUCUCACGUUGCUGUUAUUUUCGGGAGCUAAUUUUAACCCCGGGAAGCAUUGUCCUGCCUUCAGCCCUGCCACCGCGCUCCCACCCACGGGACAGGCGCGCGGCUGUAUGCCUCGGUGUGUCGCAGGCACAUCGGGGCUGUAUCGCCUUACAAGAAAACCCUGCCUUGGCACACGGCUUUCACAGUUUAUGCUGUUAAACAUACCUCAAGGACAUCUGUGUAUG